CCACUUAUCUGUCCUCAACCUUUUUCCCCUCUACUCACAGCUCGCCAGCGUCCCUCCACUCACAGCUUGCCGGCGUGCGCCGCCGCUCCCCUCGCUUCCUCCACCUUCGCACGCCGGCGCUGCUGCGCCGCCGCUCCCCUCCAUUCCUCCGCCUCCCCAUGCCGGCGCUGCUGCGCCGUCGCUCCCCUCCCUCCCUCCGCCUCCCCCAUGACGACGGUGCCGCACCGCUGCUCCCAUCCCUUCCUCCGAUUCUGUCCACAGGUACCACUUAGCAGCAACCCCCUCUCAUGCAGCAGACUCAAACCAUAGGGUCUACAUCAAAGUUCAGUAGAUUUUCUGAUUUUUUAUAGACGAGGCCAAGGGAAGCCGUGAUGGGGGUGGCAAGAAAAUUAUAUCCCGUGAUGGGGUAGUCGUAUUUGAUACUUGACCUGUUAAAAUUAACAGAGUCGAUAUGGCUACAUGUUCAGAUAAUUCAGAUUCUGUACAUUUUGUGCCUAGUGGUCCAAGGCGCUCACCAAGGGUCAAGAAAUCCAACCAAUGUAAUGCUGAAGAGCAAAGGAGGAAAUGUGCCUCGAAACCUUGUACCAAGCUUAAAUUCCUACCAGAUAAAUCAAAUGCCAUUUGUGGCAACAAGAAAAGGAAGAAGAUGGAAACUGAAACGAAGGUUUCAGUGCACAAUCAGAAGCAGGUCAUUACCUUCAGCUGCUACUCGAGCCGCAUGUGCAAAAUAGCAUCUCAACUUUCACCUGUUCAGACUCAGUUUGUGCAUAAUGCUUGUUUUGAGAAUUUACUGUCAAUGCAAGUUUGUAGUAUGUCCAAAAGCAUGACACCGUGGCUUGUCAAUACAAUGAGAACCAGGCCAACUAUGUAGUGGUACCAUCAUUUUUUUUGUUUUUAACCAUGUGAAUAUGUGAACAAAUGUCACCAUGUAAUGGCUACUGCCAUGUCACCAUGUGAAAUACAUCCCAGCUUACCUUUCGUUUGCA